GGGCCCGCACAAGCGGUGGAGCAUGUGGUUUAAUUCGAUGAUACGCGAGGAACCUUACCAGGGCUUAAAUGGGAGAUGACAGGGGCAGAGACGCCCUUUUCUUCGGACAUCUUUCAAGGUGCUGCAUGGUUGUCGUCAGCUCGUGCCGUGAGGUGUCAGGUUAAGUCCUAUAACGAGCGCAACCCCUACCGUUAGUUGCCAGCGAUUCAAGUCGGGGACUCUAACGGGACUGCCGGUGCAAACCGUGAGGAAGGUGGGGACGACGUCAAAUCAUCACGGCCCUUACGUCCUGGGCUACACACGUGCUACAAUGGUCGGUACAGAGGGAAGCUACCCCGCAAGGGGAUGCGGAUCCUUAAAACCGGUCUCAGUUCGGAUCGGGGUCUGCAACUCGGCCCGUGAAGCUGGAAUCGCUAGUAAUCG
rnacentral:rRNA from 1 species